rnacentral:rRNA from 3 species
GGUGUGACUGCGUACCUUUUGUAUAAUGGGUCAGCGACUUAUAUUCUGUAGCAAGGUUAACCGUAUAGGGGAGCCGCAGGGAAACCGAGUCUUAACUGGGCGUUAAGUUGCAGGGUAUAGACCCGAAACCCGGUGAUCUAGCCAUGGGCAGGUUGAAGGUUGGGUAACACUAACUGGAGGACCGAACCGACUAAUGUUGAAAAAUUAGCGGAUGACUUGUGGCUGGGGGUGAAAGGCCAAUCAAACCGGGAGAUAGCUGGUUCUCCCCGAAAGCUAUUUAGGUAGCGCCUCGUGAA